rnacentral:tRNA from 1 species
GGGCGCGUAGUUCAGUGGUAGAACGCUGUCCUGAUAAGACAGAGGUGGAAGGUUCGAUUCCUUCCGCGCCCACCA